GUUAUAUGGUCAAGCGAAUAAGCGCACACGGUGGAUGCCUUGGCGGUCAGAGGCGAUGAAGGACGUGGCAGCCUGCGAAAAGUAUCGGGGAGCUGGCAACAAGCUUUGAUCCGGUAAUGUCCGAAUGGGGAAACCCACCCGCUUGCGGGUAUCCUGCAGUGAAUACAUAGCUGCUGGAAGCGAACCUGGUGAACUGAAAUAUCUAAGUAACCAGAGGAAAAGAAAUCAACCGAGAUUCCGUAAGUAGCGACGAGCGAACGCGGACUAGCCCUUAAGCUGAUUUGGUUCUAGGAAAACGCUCUGGAAAGAGCGGCCAUAGAAGGUGAUAGCCCUGUAUCUGAAAGGGCCAUUUCAGUGAAGACGAGUAGGGCGGGGCACGUGAAACCCUGUCUGAACAUGGGGGGACCAUCCUCCAAGGCUAAAUACUACUGACCGACCGAUAGUGAACCAGUACCGUGAGGGAAAGGCGAAAAGAACCCCGGAGAGGGGAGUGAAAUAGAACCUGAAACCGUGUGCGUACAAGCAGUAGGAGCUCCGCAAGGAGUGACUGCGUACCUUUUGUAUAAUGGGUCAGCGACUUACUGUUCGUGGCAAGCUUAACCGUAUAGGGGAGGCGAAGGGAAACCGAGUCUGAUAAGGGCGCAUAGUCGCGGGCAGUAGACCCGAAACCGGGUGAUCUAGUCAUGCCCAGGGUGAAGGUGCGGUAACACGCACUGGAGGCCCGAACCCACUCCCGUUGCAAAGGUAGGGGAUGAGGUGUGAUUAGGAGUGAAAAGCUAAUCGAACCCGGAGAUAGCUGGUUCUCCUCGAAAGCUAUUUAGGUAGCGCCUCAUAUGUAUCCUCUCGGGGGUAGAGCACUGUUAUGGCUAGGGGGUCAUCGCGACUUACCAAACCAUUGCAAACUCCGAAUACCGAGACGGACUGUAUGGGAGACACACGGCGGGUGCUAACGUCCGUCGUGAAAAGGGAAACAACCCAGACCCACAGCUAAGGUCCCAAAUUUUGCGCUAAGUGGAAAACCAUGUGGAAAGGCACAGACAGCCAGGAGGUUGGCUUAGAAGCAGCCACCCUUUAAAGAAAGCGUAAUAGCUCACUGGUCGAGUCGGUCUGCGGGGAAGAUUUAACGGGGCUAAGCACAGAACCGAAGCUUGGGGUGCAUAACUUUGUUAUGCGCGGUAGAGGAGCGUUCCGUAAGCCGUUGAAGGUGGAUUGAGAAGUCUGCUGGAGGUAUCGGAAGUGCGAAUGCUGACAUGAGUAACGAUAAUGCGGGUGAAAAACCCGCACGCCGAAAGCCCAAGGUUUCCUUGCGCAACGUUAAUCGGCGCAGGGUGAGUCGGCCCCUAAGGCGAGGACGAAAGUCGUAGUCGAUGGGAAGCAGGUUAAUAUUCCUGCACCUCGCGUAAGUGCGAUGGAGGGACGGAGAAGGUUAGGUGUACCAGGCGUUGGUUGUCCUGGGGAAAGGCGGUAGGUUUGGAUCUUUGGCAAAUCCGGGAUCCUUUAAGACCGAGCACCGAGACGAGCCUUUAUGGCGAAGUCACUGAUACCACGCUUCCAGGAAAAGCUCCUAAGCUUCAGCUUACGCAGACCGUACCGUAAACCGACACAGGUGGGUAGGAUGAGAAUUCUCAGGCGCUUGAGAGAACUCGGGUGAAGGAACUAGGCAACAUGGCACCGUAACUUCGGGAGAAGGUGCACCCUUUUUGGUGGCUCGUGCGAGCUAUAGCUGAAGAGGGUCGCAGUAACCAGGCCGCUGCGACUGUUUAUCAAAAACACAGCACUCUGCAAACACGAAAGUGGACGUAUAGGGUGUGACGCCUGCCCGGUGCUGGAAGGUUAAUUGAUGGGGUCAGCCGCAAGGCGAAGCUCUUGAUCGAAGCCCCAGUAAACGGCGGCCGUAACUAUAACGGUCCUAAGGUAGCGAAAUUCCUUGUCGGGUAAGUUCCGACCUGCACGAAUGGCGUAACGACAGCGGCGCUGUCUCCACCCGAGACUCAGUGAAAUUGAAAUCGCUGUGAAGAUGCAGCGUUCCCGUGGCAAGACGGAAAGACCCCGUGAACCUUUACUAUAGCUUUACACUGAACGUUGAGUUCGUCUGUGUAGGAUAGGUGGGAGGCUAUGAAACUGUGGCGCUAGCUGCAGUGGAGCCAUCCUUGAAAUACCACCCUGUCGUGCUUGACGUUCUAACCUGGGCCCAUUAUCUGGGUCGGGGACCGUGUAUGGUGGGUAGUUUGACUGGGGCGGUCUCCUCCUAAAGAGUAACGGAGGAGCUCGAAGGUACGCUCAGCGCGGUCGGACAUCGCGCACUGUGUGCAAAGGCAUAAGCGUGCUUGACUGCAAGAUCGACGGAUCAAGCAGGUAGGAAACUAGGACUUAGUGAUCCGGUGGUUCUGUAUGGAAGGGCCAUCGCUCAACGGAUAAAAGGUACUCCGGGGAUAACAGGCUGAUACCGCCCAAGAGUUCAUAUCGACGGCGGUGUUUGGCACCUCGAUGUCGGCUCAUCACAUCCUGGGGCUGUAGUCGGUCCCAAGGGUAUGGCUGUUCGCCAUUUAAAGUGGUACGCGAGCUGGGUUCAGAACGUCGUGAGACAGUUCGGUCCCUAUCUGCCAUGGGCGUUGGAGAUUUGAGAGGGGCUGCUCCUAGUACGAGAGGACCGGAGUGGACGAACCUCUGGUGUUCCGGUUGUCACGCCAGUGGCAUUGCCGGGUAGCUAUGUUCGGAAGCGAUAACCGCUGAAAGCAUCUAAGCGGGAAGCGCGCCUCAAGAUGAGAUCUCCCGGGGCACAAGCCCCCUGAAGGAACCAUGUAGACUACGUGGUUGAUAGGUCAGGUGUGUAAGUACAGCAAUGUAUUGAGCUAACUGAUACUAAUGAUCCGUGCGGCUUGACCAUAUAACCU
rnacentral:rRNA from 1 species